rnacentral:rRNA from 1 species
GAGUUUGAUCCUGGCUCAGGAUGAACGCUGGCGGCGUGCUUAACACAUGCAAGUCGAACGAUUAACCCAUCUUCGGAUGGUUAUAAAGUGGCGAACGGGUGAGUAACACGUGACCAACCUGCCUUUCACAUUGGGAUAACUUAGAGAAAUCUAAGCUAAUACCAAAUACUCUUAUCGGAUCGCAUGAUCUGACAAGGAAAGCUCCGGCGGUGAAAGAUGGGGUCGCGGCCCAUUAGGUAGUUGGUAGGGUAGUGGCCUACCAAGCCGACGAUGGGUAGCCGGGUUGAGAGACCGACCGGCCACAUUGGGACUGAGAUACGGCCCAGACUCCUACGGGAGGCAGCAGUGGGGAAUUUUGCGCAAUGGGCGAAAGCCUGACGCAGCAACGCCGCGUGCGGGAUGACGGCCUUCGGGUUGUAAACCGCUUUCAGUGGGAAAGAUAAUGACGGUACCCACACAAGAAGCUCCGGCUAAAUACGUGCCAGCCGCCGCGGUAAUUC